rnacentral:rRNA from 1 species
UACAGAGGGUGCAAACGUUGCUCGGAAUGAUUGGGCGUAAAGCGCGUGUAGGCGGUCUAGUAUGCCGGUUGUGAAAGCCCGAGGCUCAACCUCGGAAGUGCAGUCGGAACUGCUAGACUAGAGUGCCGAAUAGGAUGGCGGAAUGCCCAGUGUAGAGGUGAAAUUCGUAGAUAUUGGGUAGAACACCGGUGGCGAAGGCGGCUUCCUGGACCGACACUGACGCUGGAGGCGCGAAAGCUAGGGGAGCAAACGGG